AUACAUGCAGUCGAGCGGACAGAAGGGAAGCUCUGCUUCCCGGAAGGUUAGCGGCGGAGGGGUGAGUAACACGUGGGUAACCUGCCUGUAAGAGUGGGAGAACUCCGGGAAACCGGAGCUAAUACCGGAGAGUUCCUUGAACCGCAUGGUUCAAGGAUGAAAGACGGUUUCGGCUGUCACUUACAGAUGGACCCGCGGCGCAUUAGCUAGUUGGUGGGGUAAUGGCUCACCAAGGCGACGAUGCGUAGCCGACCUGAGAGGGUGAUCGGCCACACUGGGACUGAGACACGGCCCAGACUCCUACGGGAGGCAGCAGUAGGGAAUCUUCCGCAAUGGACGAAAGUCUGACGGAGCAACGCCGCGUGAGUGAUGAAGGUUUUCGGAUCGUAAAGCUCUGUUGUUAGGGAAGAACAAGUGCGAGAGUAACUGCUCGCACCUUGACGGUACCUAACCAGAAAGCCACGGCUAACUACGUGCCAGCAGCCGCGGUAAUACGUAGGUGGCAAGCGUUGUCCGGAAUUAUUGGGCGUAAAGGGCUCGCAGGCGGUUUCUUAAGUCUGAUGUGAAAGCCCCCGGCUCACCGGGGAGGGUCAUUGGAAACUGGGAAACUUGAGUGCAGAAGAGAGAGU
rnacentral:rRNA from 1 species